UGGCUGUAAUGGAGGGAGAGCAGCAGAACUUUAAUAGUUAUUGAUCAUCAGUCUCUACUGAGCGUUAUUGGAAUCUCUUUCAUUGAUGGCUGUUGGAGAGGACUUCUGGCUUUUUUCCAGGGUACCUGUCUUAUUGCAUACUAGUAUCAUCCAGGGCAUCCAACAUGAAGCUCUCUAAUGUUAAUGAUAAAAGAAAAUUACUUCCCUGUGACUGGGGUUGGAGUGAGCAGAAGUGGCAUCACUGUUCUGUCAGGCACAAUGGAACAUCCCAAAUUCCAUCUGAUCUGUAAACCUGUGCACUUCCCUCUGUAGCUGUAGUAGCAGUGUGGUGGUUUACUUGUCUGUUUUUCACUUUCCUUCUACCAGGCUUACCACAGAAUAUAUUGGGCAACAUUUAAAGGCAAAUUAUGUUUUCAUUCCAAGUGUUGCAAGGUGAUGUCAUGGAAAGAAUAUGGUUCCUAAGCAGCUAAGAAAGUACAUUAGGAACUUAGAGAUAUUAAAUGCAUCAGGAAGAAGAAAAAAAAUGAAUUACUAUGGUCUUUUCAACCGGAAUUUUAAUUCCUGGUUUUGACAUUACCAGCAGGCUAUUGACACCCAAGGGAGCUGUGCUUUCCAGGAGGCUCCUGGGGUUAGUGCCUACACCACUCAAAGCCAGGACCUUGCUUCAAAUCUCAUCCAUCACUUUGGGGAUAAAAAGAGGGCUGCUCCAAGGCCAUGGAUCAAGGACUGAGCAAGUCCAGGUCACAGUUUUGAAUGUUCCUAGUCAGGAUAUGCUAAAGAAUCUAAAAGUUCAGCAAAGUGGCUGCACAUUGGGACAUGAAAAGUGCAUUUACAGGAUUAUUUUUUGCAUUGAAGAGAAAUCAAGCAUUUUCUUCUGUAUAAAGAAAUGUCUUGGACAUUAGGAAGAAAAGGAAUAUGUUAAUUCCUGUGUUACUGAUCUGCUAUUUUAAAUACAGAUUCCUGUUGUCCCUGGACUCACUAAGAAUGUGAGAGGGAAACACAGUGAUGAGGGGCUAUAAACCCAAGGGCCAGGACGUAAAGCAGAGGAUAUGAACACAUCAGUGGUGGAAAAAACUCCAGAAUAUCACCAAAAAGAGGAGUGGGCAAUUUCAAGUCUUUGAUGAACCAUCCAUCAUUCCAGCUUCCAAAUCUCCUGUGAGGACAAGGAUCUCUGAGCUCCCACCUCCUCAUCUAGUUCACCCUCUGCCUGCUGGAUGCACACUGCUGAACUGAGAUCUCAGAUGUUUGCAAGCAAAACAAAAUAAACUCAGACAUUGAAACUCCUUCCUGAAAUGUGGCUGAUGCUAUGGCACGUCCCUCAGCACAUGCACUGCGCACCCCUGGGCACUGCUGGGACACUGCUAAUGGCACCCAUGGCACAAACGGGAAGGUAAUGAUGGCUUUGGUGUAGAGAGGAUGGGAGCUGGGAUGUACUUUAGGGUUUCAUACUGUGAAGAAGCUGUGAAGGUGGAAAAUAUCCCAUUUCCUUGGUGAAAGAAUUAAAGGAUUUAAGGUGACAGCAUUUCCUGUGCAAAGGACUGCCAAGUACCAAGCUGCUCAUGAAUGCUGCUCCAGGGCUAUGGGCUGCUCCCCACCAUGGCUGAUCCGGCAGCAAGCCCUCAGAGGACACCAGUGACUCUGGCUGAUGCUCCCUUGUCCCAUCCUCAGCACGUGAUGCCUUAAAAAUUCUUCAGACUUACAUGAGGUAGGACACAGGUUAAACUGCUGCUACUUCACAGUGCACUUCAUCUCCUGGAAUGAGCUUCCAACACCAUCAUACAAAUGCCUGGUUUGAAGCUGUGUUUACAGUUGCUUCAAGGACAAGGAACAACACUUCUCCAUUAUGCUUUUGUUGCCUCAGUGUUGGAGUCACGAAUAAUUCCUGUUUGGUUUCACGUACCGGCCUUGGAGCAGCGAUGGAGACUCCAGUCCUGACCAGGAGAGCAAAACUCCAGCCACGUAAAGGAGUUGAUCCUACUGAAAUAUGCCUGAGGCUGCCAGCAAGGAGCUGUAGAGCUGCCUGAACCCAAGUCCAGAUGCACACGUUCUCCGUGACGAUAAGUGUGCUCUGACAGGGCUGAAGCUGCUCCAACUCCACGGGACAGCAACACAGAGCAGCCCCAGCACAGCCAGAAGGCUCUGAGCUGAUGCCAGGCUGAUGGGGAACAGCGUUUGUGCCAGGAUUAGCACCGGGCCCCUCACAAUCACAUUUAUACUCAUUCUACAUGGAUGAGGACUGGCUGACAAUUCCCGGCAUUCCAGUUUGGAAGAAAGAGUUUUGUGCUUGAAGAGGAUUGUAGGAUGGAGAGGCGUGAAACAGAUACCAAAGCUGCACCAUGGAAAUCGUGGUGUAAAGUUCAUGUGCAGUUUGGAGGCACUCAUCAACAUGACAGUAAAUGAACAAUUAAUAAUCUCUGUAUCACAAAACUACAAGGAACACAAUAUACCCAGUAUUUUCCUCAACCUCA